CAUAUCCAGUUGCUUGAGUAACUACUUUUUGGCGUAUCUUAUUACCUGGAUGUCUAACCUACAUCGACAAACUUAAGUUGUAUAACGUUAUUCCAAGAUUAAAUCAAAUUUAAUUUUUUAUCAAAUUCAAAAAAGAUCUCUCUGCAUUGCAGGAGUGCACUGUUCCCACAUUAAACUAUGUUUACUUCAGCAUUGUUUUUAAUAUCUUGUGUAUUGAUGUUUGUAUGUCAAUGACUCUUCACGGACCAAUCGCCAGUCGCUAUGCAUCAGCCAAUGAUGCCCGUGGAUGAUUGAUUGCUUGACCAAUCACAGACCAGUGGUGCUUUUUGCACCUGCUCUGGGCACACCUUUGUCAGCCUGCCGAGACCAUUGUCUUGUCAUUGACGGUCGACUAUUCAACCAAGCAACACCUUACCCAAUUCUUCACACGAGCCCGUAUACCGUAAGCGGGAAUGUCUGUCCUCCGCAAGAGAAGCGAGGGGCUGGGCAAGGGAGCAGGAGAAAGUCACCGUGAUGUUCUUCACGUCAAUGUCCGGGGAGAUGCAAGAAGAAUCUCCGAGUUUAUCUACAAGGAGAACUGCCGCGUUUUCAUCGGUGAGACUGAUAACUGGCUCUGCUUAGCAAUAGUCGUCAGAGGUGAGGCAAAUGACGCAUACUCGUCUCUUCUCCUCACCGCACCGUGCGCUGAACUGUCUUGCCUCGGGCCAGGGAGGCUAGAGCUGCCGAAGGGAUGCACCAAGCGUCACCGUAAGGCCGGGGAGAUGUCAAGAGAAUCUGAAACGUCUGAAAGCUGAAGGAGGCAGGGGCUCCCGAAGGGAUCGAUGUGAUGAGCGUCAGCGUAACGUCACCGUGCGUAACCUUUUAAGUUUCGGUAGACGUCACGAGAAUCCCCGGCGCAUCUUGAGAAUGACCGGUUUUCAAAAGGGUUCACCGACGUCAAGGCCAGACAUGACGAGGUAUACUCAAUUCUGUAUUGUGUGAAUGAAGGCUUUGAGUAAUAACAGCUGUUUUGUAGCACUCAUAACAAAAAAAGAACUGAUUCCGAACACAACCCAGAUUUUGUAAUUGUAAGGUCCAUAAUUUGAAACUGUUAACUUGCCGAUAAUGAAUUCAUUGACGACUUGUUCUUUCACUUGUCCGACUUUUAGUUGCUAUUACGAUAGGACUAUUUUCAGUUUGGACAAGCACAUUUCCAUUUGUCUGGUAUUUGCGCAGUAUAUAGUGUAUAGACUUGACAAUAGUAGCAUUCUGGGCGUCCAGUUCUAACUGUAUGUCGCGUUCACGCUCACUAUCGGACAGCCGUUCAGUUUGUUGAUUUUUGUUUACCAAAAGUUUCGUUGUUCCCGCUUAAGCAAUAAUGCAAUUCAAAUUAUGUGCUUAACUUCUUGCAUUUAAUAAAAUCUUCUUAUACAUGG